GUUGGUGCAAAAGUAAUUGCGGUUUUUGCCAUUGAAAGUAAUAGCAAAAACUGCAAUUACUUUUGUACCAAC
rnacentral:miRNA from 1 species